AUGUAUUCUCAUGAAAAGGAUGGAGGUAACCCAAGACCAAAUGCAAUGAUGCAAGAAUUUCAGAAUUGUUUGGGAGAUUGUGGUUUAUAUGAUCUGGGAUAUGUUAGCGACUGUUUAACCUGGAGGAUAGGGGAGAUUAGGGAGAGACUUGAUAGGGUUGUAUGCAAUGUCAAAUGGUCAAAUAAGUUCCCAAAGGUAGGCAUCAUCAAUGAGGAGCAUGUGCAUUCUGAUCAUCGUCCCUUAAUCCUUGACACAGAAUAUUAU
rnacentral:rRNA from 1 species